GUUGUCCUACGGGACGCAGCAGUGAGGAAUAUUGGUCAUGGGCGCGAGCCUGAACCAGCCAAGUCGCGUGAGGGAAGACGGUCCUAUGGAUUGUAAACCUCUUUUGUCGGGGAGCAAAAGACGCCACGCGUGGCGUUCCGAGAGUACCCGAAGAAAAAGCAUCGGCUAACUCCGUGCCAGCAGCCGCGGUAAUACGGAAGAUGCGAGCGUUAUCCGGAUUUAUUGGGUUUAAAGGGUGCGCAGGCGGAAGAUCAAGUCAGCGGUACAAUUGAGAGGCUCAACCUCUUCGAGCCGUUGAAACUGGU
rnacentral:rRNA from 1 species